rnacentral:rRNA from 1 species
CCUACGGGAGGCAGCAGUGAGGAAUAUUGGUCAAUGGGCGAGAGCCUGAACCAGCCAAGUCGCGUGAAGGAUGACGGCCCUACGGGUUGUAAACUUCUUUUGUCAGGGAGCAAUUGGGUCCACGCGUGGGCUUAGCGAGAGUACCUGAAGAAAAAGCAUCGGCUAACUCCGUGCCAGCAGCCGCGGUAAUACGGAGGAUGCGAGCGUUAUCCGGAUUUAUGGGGUUUAAAGGGUGCGUAGACGGAAUAUCAAGUCAGCGGUAAAAAUUCGGGGCUCCACCCCGUCGUGCCGUUGAAACUGAUGUUCUUGAGUGGGCGAGAAGUAUGCGGAAUGCGUGGUGUAGCGGUGAAAUGCAUAGAUAUCACGCAGAACUCAGAUUGCGAAGGCAGCAUACCGGCGCCCAACUGACGCUGAAGCACGAAAGCGUGGGUAUCGAACAGGAUUAGAUACCCCAGUAGUC